UCCCUGAAAGUCCAGUGGUUAGGACUCUGUACUUCCAAUGCCAGAGGCCCGGGUUCAAUCCCCGGUCAGGGAA